rnacentral:rRNA from 1 species
AUACGGAGGGUGCAAGCGUUAUCCGGAUUUAUUGGGUUUAAAGGGUGCGUAGGCGGUUAUUUAAGUCAGUGGUGAAAGUUUUCGGCUCAACCGGAAAAAUUGCCAUUGAUACUGGGUAGCUAGAAUAUGGUUGCUGUGAGUAGAAUGUGUGGUGUAGCGGUGAAAUGCAUAGAUAUCACACAGAAUACCGAUUGCGAAGGCAUCUCACAAAGCCAUCAUUGACGCUGAGGCACGAAAGUGUGGGGAUC